rnacentral:rRNA from 1 species
UAAUUCCCGUUGAUCCUGCGGGAGAUUGCUGCUAUGGGAGUUCGACUAAGCCAUGCAAGUCAGAGGGCCUUUAUGGCACAGGCUGAAUGCUCAGUAACACGUCAAUAAUUUGCCCUUAGGUUUGGGACAGCCACGGGAAACUGUGGGUAAACCCGAAUAGGUAAUUGAUACUGGAAUGUACUUUUACUCAAAGUUUACGCCUAAGGAUGAGUUGGCGGCUGAUUAGUUUGUUGGUAGUGUAAAGGACUACCAAGACUA